rnacentral:lncRNA from 1 species
GCUGGAAAGAACUCUCCUCUUUAAAUCAUCAGUCUUCCUUUUUUCUUCUGAUCUCAAGCUUUUUUCAGGAUAUCAGAAAUGCCAAUGUCACUAAAAAGAAAACUCUCACUUAUUCAAAUUAAAUAUAUCAUUACGAGGUCGUAAUCUGGUUCUGCACCGACUUUUUAGGACAUUUUGCAGAUGUUUCAUCGAACGUAGGAGAAAUUCAAAUGGAAAAUCUGACGAGCAUGCAUUUUUUGACGCAUAACCACCAGCAAUAAUGAGCCAUGCUCGAGUAUUUCCUUCGAUGGAAUUC